AGUUUUAUAUUCAAAAAUGAUAUUAGAUUGCAAUUCUAAAGGAAUAACAAGUGUUAUUAAAACUU
rnacentral:tRNA from 1 species